rnacentral:rRNA from 1 species
CGAACGCUGGCGGCGUGCCUAAUACAUGCAAGUCGAACGCACCCUUCGGGGUGAGUGGCGCACGGCUGAGUAACACGUGGGAAUCUGUCGUCGAGUGGGGGAUAACGCACCGAAAGGUACGCUAAUCCCGCAUACGUUCCGUAAGGAAGAAAGGCGCAAGUCGCUGGACGAGGAGCCUGCGGCCCAUCAGGUAGUUGGAGGGGUAACGGCCCACCAAGCCAAUGACGGGUAGCUGGUCUGUGAGGACAACCAGCCAGACUGGGACUGAGAACGGCCCAGACUCCUACGGGAGGCAGCAGUAAGGAAUUUUCGUCAAUGGGGGAAACCCUGAACGAGCAACGCCGCGUGGAGGAUGACGGUCUUCGGAUUGUAAACUCCUUUUAUGAGGGACGAUAAUGACGGUACCUCAGGAAUAAGCCCCGGCUAACUCUGUGCCAGCAG